UUUAAUCCUUGCAUUACAUAAAUUAUUGUUUGGUACAGUUCUUUCCACAAAAGUUUAUGCUGAAUUUGAUUUGUGUGACUUGGAUGUGUGCAGUUUGAUUCUCAUAUAUUAAUUGCGCCAGCUUUUGUACAAAAGUUAUUCGCAGAAGCCAGUACUGACUCUGCAAGAUGUCCAUACUUGGCAAAUCUUGAGAUUGAAAGGAGGAAAUUCUUGUUUGGAAAGGGAGAUGAUGACAAACUAAUCGAGGCUCUAAUGCAAUAUUUUUUCAGGUUUGAUUUGUUCAACAAAGAUUGGAUUCUACUCUCAUCUAUUCAUUUUAGGCCCUGAUUCUUGAAAUCCAGUGAUUAUUAAGGUAAAUGUUUUUCUUUUAUUUCAUUAGCAUAAGAAAUAUGAAUGAAAUUAUGGAAUUCAGAAUAUUUGAAUUGUUUAGUAUAUUUAAGUGAUUUACGGAUUAUAAUUUUAUAGUUUUUAUUUUAUUUUUUAUUUGUAUCUCAUAAUGCAUGCUAUCAACUUAUUAUGAUAUCUAACUUUUCGAGGGACUGCUCAUAUAACACCUAGCUUAUUGAUGAAUUCAACCUUAUAUGUUACUUCUGUUAGAUCGCCACUAAUCCCAAAAGGUCAAGUUGUGUGGAAAGAGGCCCAACAAUGCAUAUUGAGCUCUCCGACACCCUCGUCAUGUGCAAUCCCGUCUUGCAUGUGGAGAUGAAAACAUCCUAACAUGUGGAGAAACAAAAUGCCAACAAGGAAACAAAUGCAUAUAUAGAACUUGAACCUAAGACCUUUAUUAACCUGUGGUUUGACACCUUAUUAGACAAACACUAGUAGUCCAGAAAAUUUAAGACCUUAGGAAAGGGGCCCAACAAUCAUUACUUUGCUCUCCAAUACUGUCACUUGGAUUUAUCUUUGAAAAUGAAUUUUCAGUUAGCCUUGAUGCAUCACUACAGUAUGUACUAAGCAUUGUAGUCUAUCAUGGUUACUUGCACUUUUUUACCCCUUUAUGCCAUUUUCAAGUAUGGCUAGUCAGAGUGUUAAUGUAAAUCAUGUAUGAUGUAUCCACUUCCUACCGUGUCAUUUACAUGUAAGUUUGUGCACUUUUGUGUUAUUUCUUCCCUGAGAAAAACCUAAUUGGGUCUGUGAUGUGCAGGUCGCCAUGGAUCAUACCAAUUCAAAGAUUGGAACAGAUGUACCACCAAGCAGUACUCCAAACUGGACAAUUAACAUUUCAGAUGUGAGAAAAAUACUUACUAAAAGUGCACACUAGUCGGUGCUUAUAAGAAGUUCUUUUUAUUCAUAAACUGGACAUCAGUGUGAAUGUCUAAACCACUAGUUGGUGCUUAUAAGAACUGCUUUUUAUGAAUUGGGUAUCAGUGUGAAUGACUACACCUUUGUCUUCAAAUGCCUAUAUUCGGAUAUGUGUCCCCCUUAUGUCACCAAGAUGAUGAGCACAGAAUUUUGGACUUUGUUGAAGUGACUAAGAUUCUGUCUUGCGUGAAUCUAUUAUCUGCCAGUUUAACCAGUUUUGAUUUCUUUAAAUUUUGUUUUGCAAGUGGCAGGAGCCACGCCGCAUUCAAAAUUCAGUUAAUGCAAUUUGAAUAUUUCUUCUCCGUAAUCACAUUUUCUUAGUCAUUACAUGUACUUAGCUAUUCUUUUACUUUUUUUUUCUUUUUUUUUCAUAAGUAAGAACAGUUAAAGUCAGUAAUAUCUCACUAGCUACCUCUGAGAAGGAUAUUAAGGAAUUCUUCUCUUUUUCUGGUGAUAUCCAGUAUGUUGAAAUGCAAAGGGAUCCACAAUUGCUGAUCUUUCAGUCUCUAUUGCACGGGUUGAGAAUUACCAGCUGCCUCCUAUGCUCCUCCCCUAACCCCUGUUAUUUGCUAUAGGAAAGUACCAUCGGAAGAACAAAUCAAAGACCUGUUGCGCAAGAAGAACUUUGAGGAAGCCAUCUCCCUGGUGGAGGAGCUUCAAAGUGAAGGUGAAAUCACAAAGGAAAUGCUGUCCUUUGUUCAUGCUCAAGUGGGUUUCCUCUUGCUGUUUGACUUGCAUUUUGAGGAAGCAGUAAAUCACUUCUUGCUGUUAGAAACUAUGUAACCUUCUGAAAUAUUCCCAUUUAUCAUGCGAGACCCAAAUCGGU